rnacentral:tRNA from 1 species
GUUUAAUUAGUUUAAAUAAAAAUUUUAGAGUGUGGAUCUAAGGAAGGAUUACCAUUAAAUA